rnacentral:rRNA from 1 species
ANNCUAAGAACGCUGGCGGUAGGCUUAACACAUGCAAGUCGAACGGAAACGAUGAGAAGCUUGCUUUUCAGGCGUCGAGUGGCGGACGGGUGAGUAACGCGUGGGAAUCUACCCUAUAGUUGGGGACAACGUAUGGAAACGUACGCUAAUACCGAAUACGCUCUAGGGAGUAAAGGAGCCCUCUUCCUGAAAGGUUUCGCUAUAGGAUGAGCCCGCGUUAGACUAGCUAGUUGGUAAGGUAAAGGCUUACCAAGGCCACGAUCUAUAGCUGGUUUGAGAGGAUGAUCAGCCACACUGGGACUGAGACACGGCCCAGACUCCUACGGGAGGCAGCAGUGGGGAAUAGCCCGAGGGUUGUAAAGCACUUUCAAUAGGGAGGAAGAUUAGACAGUUAAUACCUGUUUAGUUUGACGUUACCUAUAGAAGAAGCACUGGCUAACUCUGUGCCAGCAGCCGCGGUAAUACAGAGGGUGCAAGCGUUAUUCGGAAUUACUGGGCGUAAAGCGCGCGUAGGCGGAUGAUUAAGUCAGUUGUGAAAGCCCCGGCUCAACCUGGGAACUGCAUCUGAUACUGGUCAUCUAGAUUUAAGAGAGGGAAGUGGAAUUCCAGGUGUAGCAGUGAAAUGCGUAGAUAUCUGGAGGAACAUCAGUGGCGAAGGCGACUUCCUGGCUUAAAACUGACGCUGAGGUGCGAAAGCGUGGGUAGCGAACGGGAUU